rnacentral:rRNA from 1 species
GACAGAGGGUGCAAACGUUUGUUCGGAAUUACUGGGCGUAAAGCGCGUGUAGGCGGCUAUGCAAGUCGGAUGUGAAAGCCCUCGGCUCAACCGGGGAAGUGCACCCGAAACUGCAAAGCUAGAGUCUCGGAGAGGAUCGUGGAAUUCUCGGUGUAGAGGUGAAAUUCGUAGAUAUCGAGAGGAACACCGGUGGCGAAGGCGGC